rnacentral:lncRNA from 1 species
AUGCCUUACAGCUGUCACAUCGCCAUCCUUCUCGCCUUUGUGAAGCUCUGGACUUGGCUAAAACAUGCCAGUUUUACAAGGGGGAAGAGGGCAGGUAAAAGGGUUGGGAACCCCUUGUCAUACCCUUGCAGACCAGCAGGCAUCCUGCCCCUGGGGAAUGGCAGGGUCUGCACAGCCGCUGCUUACCCAGCGAUGUGUGCAGCUCUCCUGCCACCAGCACCUGCACCCCGCUGCCUGCUGUCCCCCACAGAGCCAGAAUCAGGAAUACAGGUGUGUAGGUGACGUGACUGAUCUCCAGAGGUUUUGGAGAAGGAUGAGCAGUGGCUGAUGGACUGUAAUCAUCUGCAGGGCUUUCUGCAGAGAAACACCAGAAAAGAAGGCAUUUCAUAGUCUACUGAGAUAUAAGGAUACUGCAAAUGGGGACCAGAACUUACUUUCUGAGGCUGUAGUUGACCCACAACAAUUUUGACUCAGGUUAAAGGAAAAUUAGAUUUAAAUAUAAUGAAGUCAAAAUGCAAAAUGAUGCACUAGAAAAUUGCUAGCUUUUUUUUUUUUUAAUAGAGAUUUUGCUUCCAUUUUCUGUGUUUAGUUUUACUUGACAGUGCUCAGCGCUCUAUAAGCUAUACAAAUCACCAAUACCUCUGUCCUGCCUCACCCUGACUUUGGUGGGUCCAGCUGCAGCUUUUAGCCUGUGCCCUGAGCUGGGGCAGGUGCAAAGCCACCGUUCUGCAGGGGUGGCUUGGAGAAAAAAACAUGCUUUGGAAAUUCCCCCUCUCCAACACACGAGAUGUUUUUCCUGCUUGCCUGGGGCCCUUUGAGGAGGCACACUGGUGUUCAGAGACGAGGGGCAGCAGCCUGUCUUGGUGAGCGUGACAAGGGCACAGCACGUGCAGGUAACGUGUCCGUGAUGGCGUGCCAGCCUGGCUGCGAUGCACAUGCCCUUUGGGUAGGUAGGUGCAGUACCUCUGCGCGGGCGGCACUAUCCUUGCCGUAGCGCAGUACUCAUCUCGCCCCCAGACAUCUCCAGUCAGCUCCCGCCUGUCUCAGCUUGGUUAUCUCCUCCGAGCCAAAGCCCUGCUCCUGCCUGAGUAACCCUUGCAGCUCCAGCUCUUUCUCUCAAGGACAAUAAACUUCACGCAGACAUUCCUUUUUUUUUUUCU